rnacentral:rRNA from 1 species
UACGGAGGGUGCAAGCGUUAUCCGGAUUCACUGGGUUUAAAGGGUGCGUAGGCGGGCUGGUAAGUCAGUGGUGAAAUCUCCGGGCUUAACCCGGAAACUGCCGUUGAUACUAUCUGUCUUGAAUAUCGUGGAGGUAAGCGGAAUAUGUCAUGUAGCGGUGAAAUGCUUAGAUAUGACAUAGAACACCGAUUGCGAAGGCAGCUUACUACACGAUCAUUGACGCUGAGGCACGAAAGCGUGGGGAGCAAACAGG